CAUAGAUAUAUCCUCUAUAAGGAAGGUUAAUGUUCAUGUUACUAGCUAAAAGCAAGUAGUUGCCUUGUUAAAAAGUUGCUCAAAACACAACUGACCUUUUGUAUACCCCGUCUGACAUCAAUUUAAUUAAUGGUAUAAUAGCAUUGACACAAAACUUUCUGAACCAUGAAGAGUACAUUUUUUAAAUAUGUUGUGGAAUUUAUAUACAUUUAUUACCCAACUGAACACU